rnacentral:lncRNA from 1 species
UCAUUCAUUCAGCGAUUUCUCCAGAAUUCAUGCAGCUUUCAACUUCUUGAGCAUCUCCAUACAAGAAACUGCGUGGGCACAGAGGAAAGAUUCUUUCUUUAAGAAGCCUCCAAGAAGACUUUCCAGUGCAUUUUAUUGCCCAAAGCUGUGUCGCCUGACCACCUCUAGCCACAAGACAGUGGCAAGAAAUGAUCUGGUAUUUUCUUCUCAAUCCUGGGAGAAAGAUGAAGAAGAAUGGCUUAUUGAUUCUACCAUAUUGUCCAAAACCACUCCAGUGUCAGGUUGGCAUCGUGAUAUGAACGCUCAUAGGUGAGCAUUCCUGACUGACAUUCAGGCCAAUCAGACCACAAAUAAACUGGAGUUGGGCAAUAUCCAGAUCAUUUAUCACCCACAGAGUUGCUUGUGUGAAGUUCAGAAUCCAGAAUCUAAAUUAUAGUACUUAUUGAUGUGGCAUUUUCUUAGUAUCACGUGACAUUCUAAAAGCUAAAAAUAAAUAAGGUUGACCCAUUUGCAAAAUAAGAUCUAUUAGUAAAAGAUUAUGUGACAACAACAGAAUAUUUGCAAGUAUUAUUAUUUUUUAAAAAAAAGACAAAAAUUGAUGACUUGUGACGAAAACACCCUGUUCAUUAAUAACUUUGGUGAAGGCCUCCUGUAUCUAGAAGUCACUCUGCUGGAAUUCUAAGUUAUUCUCUCAGAUGGUAGAAGCAGAAGUGGGCAGGGGAAAUAACCUAUUCUAAAAAAAAAAAAAAAAAAAAAAUAGAAGAAGAAAGAAAGAAAAAAGAAAGAAAAAGAAAAGAAAGAAAGAAAGAAAGAAAGAAAGAAAGAAAGAAAGAAAGAAAGAAAGAAAGAAGAAAGAAAGAAAGAAAGAAAGAAAGAACCUAUUCUCUAAUACAAUCUGUACUGCUUGGAACAAAAAGGCUUACUGUUGCAAAGUGAUGGAUGGCCUAGUUUUUUCAGACACUCUAGGUUUCAGGUAACACAGUAGAGCAGGAUCUACUUGACUCAUUUUCUCCUCAGUUCUCUAAUCAUAGCUCUGCUUUCUCACCUCCCCCAGCCAAAUUGCACCACACACACACACACACAC